GAUGAACGCUGGCGGCGUGCCUAAUACAUGCAAGUCGAGCGAACAGAUAAGGAGCUUGCUCCUUUGAAGUUAGCGGCGGACGGGUGAGUAACACGUGGGUAACCUACCUAUAAGACUGGGAUAACUUCGGGAAACCGGAGCUAAUACCGGAUAACAUUUAGAACCGCAUGGCUCUAAAGUGAAAGAUGGUUUUGCUAUCACUUAUAGAUGGACCCGCGCCGUAUUAGCUAGUUGGUAAGGUAACGGCUUACCAAGGCGACGAUACGUAGCCGACCUGAGAGGGUGAUCGGCCGCACUGGAACUGAGACACGGUCCAGACUCCUACGGGAGGCAGCAGUAGGGAAUCUUCCGCAAUGGGCGAAAGCCUGACGGAGCAACGCCGCGUGAGUGAUGAAGGGUUUCGGCUCGUAAAACUCUGUUAUUAGGGAAGAACAAAUGUGUAAGUAACUGUGCACAUCUUGACGGUACCUAAUCAGAAAGCCACGGCUAACUACGUGCCAGCAGCCGCGGUAAUACGUAGGUGGCAAGCGUUAUCCGGAAUUAUUGGGCGUAGCGCGCGUAGGCGGUUUCUUAAGUCUGAUGUGAAAGCCCACGGCUCAACCGUGGAGGGUCAUUGGAAACUGGGAAACUUGAGUGCAGAAGAGGAAAGUGGAAUUCCAUGUGUAGCGGUGAAAUGCGCAGAGAUAUGGAGGAACACCAGUGGCGAAGGCGACUUUCUGGUCUGUAACUGACGCUGAUGUGCGAAAGCGUGGGGAUCAAACAGGAUUAGAUACCCUGGUAGUCCACGCCGUAAACGAUGAGUGCUAAGUGUUAGGGGGUUUCCGCCCCUUAGUGCUGCAGCUAACGCAUUAAGCACUCCGCCUGGGGAGUACGACCGCAAGGUUGAAACUCAAAGGAAUUGACGGGGACCCGCACAAGCGGUGGAGCAUGUGGUUUAAUUCGAAGCAACGCGAAGGACCUUACCAAAUCUUGACAUCCUUUGAAAACUCUAGAGAUAGAGCCUUCCCCUUCGGGGGACAAAGUGACAGGUGGUGCAUGGUUGUCGUCAGCUCGUGUCGUGAGAUGUUGGGUUAAGUCCCGCAACGAGCGCAACCCUUAAGCUUAGUUGCCAUCAUUAAGUUGGGCACUCUAGGUUGACUGCCGGUGACAAACCGGAGGAAGGUGGGGAUGACGUCAAAUCAUCAUGCCCCUUAUGAUUUGGGCUACACACGUGCUACAAUGGACAAUACAAAGGGCAGCUAAACCGCGAGGUCAUGCAAAUCCCAUAAAGUUGUUCUCAGUUCGGAUUGUAGUCUGCAACUCGACUACAUGAAGCUGGAAUCGCUAGUAAUCGUAGAUCAGCAUGCUACGGUGAAUACGUUCCCGGGUCU
rnacentral:rRNA from 1 species